GGGCCCGCACAAGCGGUGGAGUAUGUGGUUUAAUUCGAUGCAACGCGAAGAACCUUACCUGGGUUUGACAUCCCUCGAAUCCUCCUGAAAGGGAGGAGUGCCCUUCGGGGAGCGGGGUGACAGGUGCUGCAUGGCUGUCGUCAGCUCGUGCCGUGAGGUGUUGGGUUAAGUCCCGCAACGAGCGCAACCCUUGUCUUUAGUUGCCAGCGAGUAAUGUCGGGCACUCUAGAGAGACCGCCUCGGUCAACGGGGAGGAAGGUGGGGACGACGUCAAGUCAUCAUGGCCCUUACGCCCAGGGCUACACACGUACUACAAUGGCGGGUACAAUGGGCUGCGAGACCGCAAGGUGGAGCCAAUCCCAAAAAACCCGUCCCAGUCCGGAUCGGAGUCUGCAACUCGACUCCGUGAAGUCGGAAUCGCUAGUAAUCGGAGAUCAGCAUGCUCCGGUGAAUACGUUCCCGGGCCUU
rnacentral:rRNA from 1 species